CCUACGGGGGGCGGCAGUGGGGAAUUUUGCUCAAUGGGCGCAAGCCUGAAGCAGCAACGCCGCGUGGAGGAUGACGGUUUUCGGAUUGUAAACUCCUUUUAUCAGAGAAGAUAAUGACGGUAUCUGAUGAAUAAGCACCGGCUAACUCCGUGCCAGCAGCCGCGGUAAUACGGGGGGUGCAAGCGUUACUCGGAAUCACUGGGCGUAAAGGGAGCGUAGGCGUUCUUUUAAGUCUUCCGUGAAAGCCUGGGGCUUAACCCCAGAACUGCGGGGGAAACUGGAAGAAUAGAAUAUGGAAGAGGUCGAUGGAAUUUCUGGUGUAGGGGUAAAAUCCGUAGAGAUCAGAAGGAAUACCAAUUGCGAAGGCGAUCGGCUGGGACAUCAUUGACGCUGAGGCUCGAAAGCGUGGGGAGCAGACAGGAUUAGAUACCCUGGUAGUCCACGCCCUAAACGAUGGAUGCUUGUUGUCAGGGGGAUUCCUUUGGUAACUCAGCUAACGCAUUAAGCAUCCCGCCUGGGGAGUACGGUCGCAAGAUUAAAACUCAAAGGAAUAGACGGGGACCCGCACAAGUGGUGGAGCAUGUGGUUUAAUUCGAAGAUACGCGAAAAACCUUACCCAGGCUUGACAUGUUAGGAAUCUUGUGGAAACAUGAGAGUGCUUGCUUGCAAGAGCCUAAACACAGGUGCUGCACGGCUGUCGUCAGCUCGUGUCGUGAGAUGUUGGGUUAAGUCCCGCAACGAGCGCAACCCUCGUUAUUAGUUGCCAGCACUUCGGGUGGGAACUCUAAUAAGACUGCCUGCGCAAGCAGGAGGAAGAUGAGGACGACGUCAAGUCAUCAUGGCCCUUAUGCCUGGGGCGACACACGUGCUACAAUGGAAUGUACAAUGAGAGGCAAUACCGCGAGGUGGAGCAAAUCUAUAAAACAUUUCUCAGUUCGGAUUGUAGUCUGCAACUCGACUACAUGAAGCUGGAAUCACUAGUAAUCGUGCAUCAGCCAUGGCACGGUGAAUACGUUCCCGGGUCUUGUACUCACCGCCCGUCACACCAUGGGAGUUGAUAACGCCCUAAGCCUGGAUGCUAACCUUACGGAGGCUACAGUCCACGGCGGUAUCAGCGACUGGGGUGAAGUCGUAACAAGGUAACC
rnacentral:rRNA from 1 species